UACGAAGGGGGCUAGCGUUGUUCGGAAUUACUGGGCGUAAAGCGCGCGCAGGCGGUUUCUCAAGUCAGUGGUGAAAGCCCGGAGCUCAACUCCGGAACUGCCAUUGAUACUGCUUAACUUGAAUCAACUUGAGGUGGAUGGAAUAUUACAUGUAGCGGUGAAAUGCUUAGAUAUGUAAUAGAACACCGAUUGCGAAGGCAGUUCACUAAGGUUGUAUUGACACUGAGGCACGAAAGCGUGGGGAUCAAACAGG
rnacentral:rRNA from 1 species